rnacentral:rRNA from 1 species
GACGAACCGUGCGAACGUUGUUCGGAAUCACUGGGCUUAAAGGGCGCGUAGGCGGGCUAUCAAGUCCGGGUGAAAUCCUCCGCUCAACGGGAGAACGGCCUCGGAUACUGAUGGUCUCGAGGGAUAGGGCACGCGGAACUGGUGGUGGAGCGGUGAAAUGCGUUGAUAGUCCAUAGGAACUCGUGCGAAAGCGCGUGCUGAUCCUCUGACGCU